rnacentral:rRNA from 1 species
UACGAGAGGUCCAAGCGUUAGUCGGAAUCACUGGGCUUAAAGGGUGCGUAGGCGGGCUUGUAAGUGUCUUGUGAAAUCCCCGGGCUCAACCUGGGAAUUGCAGGGCAUACUGCGAGUCUAGAGGAAUCUAGAGGCCGGCAGAACGAUAGGUGGAGCGGUGGAAUGCGUAGAUAUCUAUCGGAAUGCCAAAGGUGAAGACAGCCGGCUGGGGAUUUCCUGACGCUGAGGCACGAAAGCGUGGGGAUCAAACAGG